CGGAAAGCAAGUACACACACAGUACGACUGAAGUGUCGCUGGAAGGCUGCAGGAACAGAAACCCCUGGAAAGAUCUUGCCCUUACCGAAGUUUGAAGGAAGAAUGUGCAAAGGGAGCAUUAUUACAAUGCAGAAGAUGGAAGUGGAUAUUUGGUGUGGAGAAUUAAAACUUUCCAAAAAGAAGCAUCAGAUGGACGGAUAAAACGCCCACGGCAACCACAAACAGGUGCAUCAUUUGCAGAUUGAUCAAGAUUUUGGACUUCUAUUUGGUGAGUCGACCGCUGCAAAGUUGUUGGAGAAGUGGUCUACCAACAUAAAACCAAAGGUUAUUGCACAGACCCGUGGCCUCACACAGACUUGUAAGCAUCCAAAAUGCUGAAGCCACUGAAGUUGAAGAUGGUAACUAUUGUGCUAUACAAGUUAUGAUUCAUGAAGAAUGGCUUUAGAUCUAUAGUUUCAAUUGAAGUCACAAUGUUACCCAUCAGACAUGCAUUAUUCAUAUGCAGCACAGAUUUAAGUAAAUAAUCAGAAUAAAAAUUACCGGUUUCUCUUAACAUUUCUACCUUGACCUUAGUGAUAUUGAAAUGAGGUCAUACAGUUAAAAUUAUUUACAACAUAUAAUCCAUGCUUUUGUUAUUUAGAGUCCCAAAUGAAAACAAUUUUAAACUGUAAAUCUUCAACUCGCGUACUAGGCCCUUGUGAAAACCCAUCUGAAAGUGCUCUAUUUUUACACACUAAGGGCUCUAUUUUAACGAUCUGAAACGCAAGUGCGAAGCGCAACGCGCAAGUGAGUUUGUGGGCGGAUCUUGGGCGCUGUUGCUAUUUUCCCGGCGUGAGAAAUAACUCUUGCGCCGGGCGCAAAUCAAUAAGGGGUUGGUCUGAAGUAGGUUCAUUAUUCAUAGGUGUGGUUUGGGCGUAACGUCAAAUAAACCAAUCAGAACGCUAGCCAACAUUCCCUUUAAACGCAAGGGCGCAAGUUCCAUGGCGGGUUGCUAUUAUUAUGACGGAUUUACCAGGCGUACGCCAGGAGCGGUUUACAGCCGAGGAGACCGACGUCCUUGUACGGGGGAAUCCCACGCUUGCCAGCAUAAAUCGGGCACGCCGUGUAACGGGAGGUGGAUCUGCCUCAGGACUUGACGCCAGCAGAGGACAUCGCUGCGUCCACCCUCACCGCUGAAAGGGUUUGGGGGCUUUGAAAUCGGACCCAAGAAACGCAAGCAAGGUCCAACCCCAAAGUACUCUUACAAAUCAAGUUCAUAUACAUUAAGGUUUCUUAUGAAAACAUUUUAACUAUUAUUUACAUAAAAUAAACGUAAUACAGCCACACAACAAAGUUAUGAAAAUAUUUUAAUCGUUAUUUGCAUGAGAAUAAAUAAAAACUAUCAACACAAUGCUCACCACUAUGAUUCCCCUUAUCUCGUGUAUUAAUAUUUUUAAGUGUAACAAUUUAUGAUUUGCAAAAAUAACUGUUGCAUCUGUGUAGAUUAGAUAAGCAAAGUGUAUGCGCGUUGUGCACGCUAUACAUUAUGGUCAAGCAUGCGCCCUUAAAAUAGUAUAAUGAACCACGCGCAACGCGCCACUGACUUUAGACUAGAUUUUUUUGGUUAGUAGCGCAAUUGUUUUUUGAAACUGCAAAAUAGCAUAAGAGAUGGUUUGCGCCGCAACACGCCUCCUUUUUGCGCUGAACCGCCCAGGGAGCGCAAGUUCAUUCCCUAGUUUGCUGACGUGCAUCUGUGGAGGGAAAAACCCCGCUGUGCGCCGGCGCAAAAUACGAAUGAUACAUGCGUCACUGACAAAGUCAAUUGCGCUGGGUGCAAGAUAGGGCCCUAAUUUUUUAUAUACAAAACGAUUCUUCUUCUUUAGUACUUAAAGAAAAUCUUAAAAACAUCUAAGGAUACUUGUCUGUACUAUUUUGAGACACCAUGAAUAUGAACUUAAAUGUGCUUAAAAUAUAUUUAAAAAAUGUAUUUAGUUACUGCUUGUAGUAAACUUAAACCCAUCUUUCAUACAAACAAGUGGUAAAUAAAUACAUUUUUUAAAUAUAUUUUAAGCACAUUUUAGUUUAUAUUCAUGGUGUCUCAAAAUAGCACAAUAAUUUUUAAUAUUAUUAAGGACAAAAUUAGUGUGCGAAAAGAGAGCACUUUCAGUACGUUAUUGAAGUGUACCUUCUUUUUCAGCUGGGUUUUCACAAGGGCCUAGUACGUGAGUUGCAGAUUUACACUUUUAAAUUGUUUUAAUUUGGGACUCUGAUAACAAACGUAUGGUUUAUAUAUUGUAAAUAAAGUUUAAAGGGGACGUAUCAUGAAAAUCUGACUUUUUCCUUGUUUAAGUGCUAUAAUUGGGUCCCCAGUGCUUCUAUCAACAGAGAAAAUGUGAAAAAGAUCAACCCAGUAACUUAGUUUUGAUAAACCAUUCUUUGCAAGCAUGUGAAAAAAUAGCUCAUUGAAAUUUGGCUCCCCUUGUGAUGUAAGAAGGGGAUCUUAUUAUAAUAAUACCGCCUCUUAAUCUGCACUAUUCAACCACUGCCAUUUAGUGCAGCUCAUUUGCAUUUAAAAGGACACACCCAACAACUGCACAUUUUUGCUCACCCCUACAAAGUGUAAAUUUUAACAUGUUACAAUAAAUUGUCUAUAUGGUAUUUUGAGCUAGAACUUCACAUACAUACUCUGGGAUAGCAAAUAUUUAUUUGACAUCUUAAAAAAGUCUUGUGAAAUGUCUCCUUUAACUGUAUUAUCUCAUUUCAGUAUUUGUAGUAGUUUGUUUCUGCUUUGUUUAUUGUACUAUAUUAUUUCAUGUAAUUCUUUAUCUCCUCUAUUGUAUUACUAUUUAUAUUAUUUUAGUGUUGUUGUCAUGAAUUGUAAAAAUGCUGUUUAAAAGAGGCUUUACAAAUAAAAUGUAUAAUAGAUGCUGUUUUUAGC